CGAUUAAAAAACUAUUUAGUGGAACUGAGACCAAGAGUUCUUAAUGCUGUGACCAAAGAUGGAGAUUCUCCACAGAUGCAAUAGUCACUUAAUAGUUUUCUUCCUGAGGAGAUACAAGA
rnacentral:snoRNA from 1 species